UGGCCAAGGAUGAAAACCACAGUCUGAUUGGGCAUGCUUUCCAUGCUCUGAUGGGUUAAAGGAUUUACCUGAGGCCA
rfam:Monodelphis domestica cont3.047798, whole genome shotgun sequence.